rnacentral:rRNA from 1 species
UACGUAGGGCGCAAGCGUUAUCCGGAAUUACUGGGCGUAAAGCGUGCGCAGGCGGUGGCUCAAGCCAGGCGUGAAAUCCCCGGGCUUAACCUGGGAAUGGCGUUUGGGACUGGGUCGCUAGAGUGUGGCAGAGGGAGGUGGAAUUCCACGUGUAGCAGUGAAAUGCGUAGAGAUGUGGAGGAACACCGAUGGCGAAGGCAGCCUCCUGGGCCAGCACUGACGCUCAUGCACGAAAGCGUGGGGAGCAAACAGG